UGUGUAAGUUUGAUGUAAUCUCGGAACACUUGUGGAUUCGACACAUUCGACCUCAUGAUCCACGAAAGCCUCCUCAUCUCCAAACUAAAACCUUCACUAAACACCCAAGGCA